UGAUGUGAGGGAGAUCUGGCUAAGACAUCUGUCACCCCAUUGAUCUCCAGAGAUGAUCUGCUGCUCUGGCUGGCUAGGUGGGUGUCCCCUUCCUCCUGCACAGUUCCAUGCCUGUCCCUCUCAAAGCUUUGCCCUCAGCCAAAGAGGAUGGCUUUUCCCAAUAGCAGAUGGCUCUGUUGGAAGCUCCCAGUGAGCACAGCCCCGUAAGUCAGGGUCCCAUGUGAGGAUAGCACAGUC
rnacentral:sRNA from 1 species